GACAGAGGGUGCAAACGUUGUUCGGAAUUACUGGGCGUAAAGCGCGUGUAGGCGGCCCUGCAAGUCGGGUGUGAAAUCCCAUGGCUCAACCAUGGAAGUGCACUCGAAACUGCAGGGCUAGAGUCCUGGAGAGGAAGGUGGAAUGCUUGGUGUAGAGGUGAAAUUCGUAGAUAUCAAGCGGAACACCGGUGGCGAAGGCGGCCUUCUGGACAGUGACUGACGGCUGAGGAGCGAAAGCGUGGGUAACAAACAGG
rnacentral:rRNA from 1 species